CAAUAGCGUAUAUUAAAGUUGUUGCAGUUAAGAAGCUCGUAGUUGGAUUUCUGGUUGAAGCGACCGGUCGGGCGUUGAUUCGUCUGCACUGGAGUCGGUUUUGGCCAUCCUCUAGGGAAGUGCGUCUGGUAUUAAGUUAUCGGGCGUAUGAUCCUGGUCUUUUACUGUGAAAAAAUUAGAGUGUUUAAAGCAGGCCUUCGCCUUGAAUACAUUAGCAUGGAAUAAUAAGAUAGGACUUUGGUCUAUUUUGUUGGUUUGCAGACCGAAGUAAUGAUUAAUAGGGAUAGUUGGGGGUAUUUAUAUUCCGAUGUCAGAGGUGAAAUUCUUAGAUUUUCGGAAGAUAAACUUAUGCGAAAGCAUUUACCAAGGAUGUUUUCAUUAA
rnacentral:rRNA from 1 species